GACGAACGCUGGCGGCGUGCCUAAUACAUGCAAGUAGAACGCUGAAGAGAGGAGCUUGCUCUUCUUGGAUGAGUUGCGAACGGGUGAGUAACGCGUAGGUAACCUGCCUUGUAGCGGGGGAUAACUAUUGGAAACGAUAGCUAAUACCGCAUAACAAUGGAUGACACAUGUCAUUUAUUUGAAAGGGGCAAUUGCUCCACUACAAGAUGGACCUGCGUUGUAUUAGCUAGUAGGUGAGGUAAUGGCUCACCUAGGCGACGAUACAUAGCCGACCUGAGAGGGUGAUCGGCCACACUGGGACUGAGACACGGCCCAGACUCCUACGGGAGGCAGCAGUAGGGAAUCUUCGGCAAUGGGGGCAACCCUGACCGAGCAACGCCGCGUGAGUGAAGAAGGUUUUCGGAUCGUAAAGCUCUGUUGUAAGUCAAGAACGGGUGUGAGAGUGGAAAGUUCACGCUGUGACGGCAGCUUACCAGAAAGGGACGGCUAACUACGUG
rnacentral:rRNA from 1 species